UAUGUGAUUCAGUCUGACAGACUUUAAAGCUGAUCCAGGGACUCCAGUGAAACCUGCCUGCUGUCUGUUCUCUACUCAGCAGAUAAAAUGCAUUCUAACAAACCACCAUCACGUGCCAACCCUGUGACACCGUCCACCUAACAACAUACAAGAGCAGCACCUGAACAUCACAAUGCCUUUGCUGCACCUGCUAGAGAAGCAGCACCUGAACAUCACAAUGGUAACAGUGCCUGUGAAAUGCCAGACAACAUAUUUAACAUUGUUAUGCUGGGACUAACGGGGACUGGAAAGAGUGCAUCAGCAAACACCAUCCUGGCUGCUGGGAACUCCCAGCGGAAUUCAAAAAAACACUUUAUAUCUAUGUCACACUCCUUGCCGGUCACCACCCAGUGUGAGGUAAAAAUAGUAAAGAAGCUCUGCGGGACACAGGUGAGAGUGGUUGACACUCCGGACUUCUUAAACGACCAACUCUGUAACUCCCAGGCACAGGUAGAGGAGUGUAAGAGGUACUGUCAGCCAGGUCGAUGCGUGGUGUUACUCGUGUUACAGCUGGGGCGGUUUACAGAUGUUGAGAGAGGAAUAUUGGAAAAGCUGGAAAAAAAGCUUGACUGGAAGAUCAGGGAGAGGACAAUCGUCCUGCUGACACACAGGGAGGACCUGAAAGGAAGUCUGAAGAGUUAUAUUGAUGUUAAUGACGGCCUCAAGAGCAUUGUUGAAAUGUGUGUCAAUCGUCUUCAUCUUUUUAAUAAUUCCUCCAACGACACUAAGCAAGUCAUAGAGCUCAUCAAGAAAAUUCCGAACUAUGAAAAUUUUUUCCCAAAGUUUACAGAAAAAAAUUGUUGUGUAUGUUAGCUUGGCUAUAUAUGCUGAUCAUGUCAUUUGCACUCCAAAUGUGCAAAUGACAUAGUGCUUAAAAAGAGUAUUCUACUGACUCACAAUGGACAAAAAGUAUUAAAAUUGUUGCAGAACCAUAGAUAACUUUUGAAUUCCAUAUAUUACCCACAAUGCAACUCUGCCACCAACAGUUCAGUCGAGUCAGAUGCAGGUGUGUUUUGCUAGUAGCGGCUAAUGUAGCCUAGACUCACUAGCCUCAAGCAGAGAUGAGGAGUGGGCUAUCAUUUUCACAUUUGUAGUCUUCAGCCCUAAAGAUAAUUUAUCAUUUGCUUAGCUCUUGCUGUAGAAACUAAAGGCAACUUUUUUCACAUGUGCAAUAAUACUCCCCAAGACCUGUAAACAGACGUUCCUCUUUGAUUUCAAGUGCAUCUUUUAAAGUUGUGUUCACUACUGCCCACUAUUUUAUCAUAAUCAUUAUGCUACCUUUUUCGUCAGAGUACUAUUAUGUGUUGUUUUUGUUCGAUUUUAAAUUAAUGUAUAUUACAUUAUACAUACCAAUGUUUGGAGCAAGCCUAUGCCUCCUGGGGAUGGUGGUGGAUGUUGUUACUGCUGCUACUGCUACUAGUGUGUAACUUGCAUCUGUUUAAAAAUGUACAUGUCAAAUGCCUGUCUAUAGUGAAUCUAAAAAAUUAUAAAUGCGUUGGUAAAAAUGGCAUAAAUGUAUAACAAAAACUGGAUGCAGGAUUCCAACAUAGCAUUCAGCUAAGUUCUGAGAAGUGAAAUUCCAGUGUAAUAGAGUUUACUAAGUCCUGAAAAGGAGUGUGGCUUGAUCAUGGGCCUGAUGAAAGACAUGUGGUUGUCAGAUGAUGUACUGUGCUGAUGUACUGUACUGUGCCAUGAAGUCCAACCUCGCAACUGUAUAAGUACUUGCAUGCUAACAGAAUGGCUUCAGGUUCCUCUGCAGAGUAAACUCAUGUAUUUUGUUUGAAUAAAGAUCUUAAUUAUAGCACCA